UGGGGAAUAUUGCACAAUGGGCGCAAGCCUGAUGCAGCGACGCCGCGUGGGGGAUGACGGCCUUCGGGUUGUAAACCUCUUUCAGCACAGACGAAGCGCAAGUGACGGUAUGUGCAGAAGAAGCACCGGCCAACUACGUGCCAGCAGCCGCGGUAAUACGUAGGGUGCGAGCGUUGUCCGGAAUUACUGGGCGUAAAGAGCUUGUAGGUGGUUUGUCGCGUUGUUCGUGAAAUCUCACGGCUUAACUGUGAGCGUGCGGGCGAUACGGGCAGACUAGAGUACUGCAGGGGAGACUGGAAUUCCUGGUGUAGCGGUGGAAUGCGCAGAUAUCAGGAGGAACACCGGUGGCGAAGGCGGGUCUCUGGGCAGUAACUGACGCUGAGAAGCGAAAGCGUGGGGAGCGAACA
rnacentral:rRNA from 1 species